rnacentral:rRNA from 1 species
GAUGAACGCUGGCGGCGUGCUUAACACAUGCAAGUCGAACGGGAAACCUUUUAUUGAGGCUUCGGCAGGUGUAGCUGGCUUCUAGUGGCGGACGGGUGAGUAACGCGUGGGUAACCUGCCUUAUACAGGGGGCUAACAGUAAGAAAUGGCUGCUAAUACCGCAUAAGCGCACGGGGCUGCAUGUCUCAGUGGGAAAAACUCCGGUGGUAUAAGAUGGACGCGCGUUGGAUUAGCUGGCUGGUGGGGUAACGGCCGAGCAGGGCGACGUUGCAUAGCCGGCCUGAGAGGGGGAACCGCCACAUUGGGACUGAGACACGGCCCAGACUCCUACGGGAGGCAGCAGUGGGGAAUAUUGCACAAUGGGGCAAAACCUGAUGCAGCGACGCCGCGUGAAGGAAGAAGUAGCUCGGUAUGUAAACUUCUAUCAGCAGGGAAGAUAAUGACGGUACCUGACUAAGAAGCCCCGGCUAACUACGUG